rnacentral:lncRNA from 1 species
GGAGAAGCUGCUUUGAGAGAAACCCUUUUCUGUUAAUUGGAACACAUUAUGGCCUACUUGAAAGGGACUCGAACACAUCUCAAAAAGCCUAAGAUCUCCAGCACCAAAAUCCAGAGGGUUAUACACAUCUCCGGGAAGAAAAUGCAGACUUACCAGAUCUCGAUUAUUUAAGUGGAAUGUGAAUAAAACUUGAUGAAAAUGCA